UAUGUGUGUAUACGUGUGUGCACGUGUGCAUGCAUAUACACACACACACAUACAUAUAAAUUUUUU
rnacentral:miRNA from 1 species